rnacentral:rRNA from 1 species
CGCGCCCUUCGGGGCGAGUGGCGGACGGGUGAGUAACACGUGGGAACGUGCCCUUUGGUUCGGAAUAACUCAGGGAAACUUGAGCUAAUACCGGAUGAGCCCUACGGGGGAAAGAUUUAUCGCCGAAGGAGCGGCCCGCGUCUGAUUAGCUAGUUGGUGAGGUAAAGGCUCACCAAGGCUACGAUCAGUAGCUGGUCUGAGAGGAUGAUCAGCCACACUGGGACUGAGACACGGCCCAGACUCCUACGGGAGGCAGCAGUGGGGAAUCUUGCGCAAUGGGCGAAAGCCUGACGCAGCCAUGCCGCGUGGAUGAUGAAGGUCUUAGGAUUGUAAAAUCCUUUCACCGGGGACGAUAAUGACGGUACCCGGAGAAGAAGCCCCGGCUAACUUCGUGCCAGCAGCCGCGGUAAUACGAAGGGGGCUAGCGUUGCUCGGAAUUACUGGGCGUAAAGGGCGCGUAGGCGGACAGUUAAGUCGGGGGUGAAAGCCCGGGGCUCAACCUCGGAAUUGCCUUCGAUACUGGCUGUCUUGAGUACGGGAGAGGUGUGUGGAACUCCGAGUGUAGAGGUGAAAUUCGUAGAUAUUCGGAAGAACACCAGUGGCGAAGGCGACACACUGGCCCGUUACUGACGCUGAGGCGCGA